CUAGUAACGGCGAGUGAAGCGGGAAGAGCUCAAAUUUGAAAUCUGGUGGCCUCAGGUCAUCCGAGUUGUAAUCUAUAGAAGUGUUUUCCGUGCUGGCUCAUGUACAAGUCCCUUGGAACAGGGCGUCAUAGAGGGUGAGAAUCCCGUCCUUGACAUGAACUACCAGUGCUCUGUGAUACAUUUUCAACGAGUCGAGUUGUUUGGGAAUGCAGCUCAAAAUGGGUGGUAAAUUCCAUCUAAAGCUAAAUAUUGGCGAGAGACCGAUAGCGAACAAGUACCGUGAGGGAAAGAUGAAAAGCACUUUGGAAAGAGAGUUAAACAGUAUGUGAAAUUGUUGAAAGGGAAACGAUUGAAGUCAGUCGUGCUCUUUGGAUUCAGCCGGUUCUGCCGGUGUACUUCCUUUGAGUGGGGUCAACAUCAGUUUUGAUCGCUGGAUAAAGGCUGGAGGAACGUAGUACCCUCGGGUAAACUUAUAGCCUCCUGUCACAUACAGUGGUUGGGACUGAGGAACGCAGCACGCCUUUAUGGCCGGGAUUCGUCCACGUACGUGCUUAGGAUGUUGACAUAAUGGCUUUAAACGACCCGUCU
rnacentral:rRNA from 1 species